rnacentral:rRNA from 1 species
UACGUAGGCAGCGAGCGUUGUUCGGAAUUACUGGGCGUAAAGAGUGUGUAGGCGGUGUUCCCAGUCUGUUGUGAAAUCUCCCGGCUUAACUGGGAGGGUGCAGCGGAAACUAGAAUGCUAGAGGGUGGGAGAGGUAAGCGGAAUUCCUGGUGUAGCGGUGAAAUGCGUAGAUAUCAGGAGGAACACCUGUGGUGUAGACAGCUUACUGGACCAUAACUGACGCUGAGGCACGAAAGCGUGGGUAGCAAACAGG